GACAUUAUCUUUUCUUUUAGUGGCGCCCGAACCUGAGCCACCUGAACUAAUGUUUACUGAAACACGAGCUCCAGUAGACGAGGAGGACAUACCUGGUGGAUUUGCAGCAGGAGAAGCGCGACCGUCAAUAGACCCCUUUUACGUAGAACCACUACUACCACCAGAACCAGAACCAGCACCAUGUGUAAGGAGAAGAGGAGAAUUAUCCGACAGCAGGAUGUCUAAAUAUUUUAAUGCGGCAAAGCGUCCUAGACCUAGACCAAGUGUUCCAGAUGAUGAGGAUGAUGACCCUUUUGGGAUUGCUCCCCCACCCCCACCACCUCAAGACCAAAUGUCAGUACGACGAAGGACACGACCAGCACCUGUACAACCAGUCAACCAACCUCCACGCGUCAGGAAAACAUCCGAAGAGAUUGACGCGGAACAAUUAGAAAAGGACAAAGCGGAAUUGGCGGUCAUGGAUGAACAGAUUUUUCAAGCGGACUUCAAUUACAGAGAGAUGUGCAGGGUUCAGUUUAUGUCUAGCUAUGAAAUUGUAGAGUUAACAGCCAAGUUAUCAAACACAUUUCUGCUGGACGAAGAGAAAGAGGAAAUUCGACAAGACAUAGAAGCACUAAAGAGAAAAAUAAGAGAUGCACACAGGCAACAGGGGGAAUUUCAUAGACAAAAAGGAGAACUCAAGGCUGCGAGGAACCAAUUAGAAGAAACUCAAGAAAACCGCCGAUACGAGAAGUCUUAUAAGCGGCAAACACUGGGUAUAAUGGCUUCAGCCCAAGUAGAGUCAAUUGAAGAGCAGAAUUAUUUACGUUCGUUACGGCCUCUUGGUGAAGAUUUCUUUCCAACCUAUUAUCCUCCUCCUGAACAACCAAUCCAUUAUCCAGGAUUGGAAGAUAGAGCUCCACCAUAUAUACCUUCUACGUGGAAAGUUCAUACACCAACUCCAUACAGCCAGGAGGAUCUUGCAGAUAUUCACGAGUAUAAUAUGUCGAAUCGAGGCAAUGUGCACAAUAUUCCAGCGGCACAGUUGGUGAAGCCAUAUUUGUCACUUGCUGAAAGGGACAGCUAUAAUAAAAAGCUUGAGCAAACUCCCAUUCGUUUUGAUUUCUCUAACCCACAAGAGACCUGCCGGAGGUACGAUGCAGCCGAAAGGGAAGCGGCGCGUAGGAACGUGUGUAGCUCUCAAAUGGAUAAUGCGAUGAAAGCGAAAAAUGCGGUUGAAAUGAAGAUUGCGGCAGUCCAAAGGAAAAUACAAGCAACAGACAAUAAAUUGCAUUCCCCUGGUGUGCCGGCAUCAAUACGGCAAGAGUUGAAGGAACAAAUACGGAUGUUAGAUUUGGACAUUCAACGUCACAGAGAAGAGGAAGCCAAGAUAGAUGACGUAAUAUCAAGGCUACCAGGCCCAAGACCGCAAGAUGCAGCACAUCUAAAAUACGACACACGGCGGCCUACUGAUGCGCAACCUCCUCCAGGCUUUGCCCUUCAAGCCCCACCAAAAAGAAAGAGACCUGCAAACAUGGCUGGACCGAGCUCACAACCAACACAAUCUGGCGUCUGUCCACUACCAUAUGCAGGUCGGCCAGGGGGACCAUAAUGACCAGAAUUUGAAAAAAGAGAAUGGAAGAGAAAGGCCGUAGUGUUCAGUCAUCGAGUGGGUUAUGGGGCUAUGUGACCAUUCCCAGCCAGCCACUUUGAUUUGCCUGGGUUCAGCAUUGAGAAGACCUCCUCUACCACUGUAGCAGCCAGACCGAACUGCAUUAUUACAUUCUGAUGAGCGAGACAACAGAGCUGAUGACAGUGGGAAUCCUGGACUCAAGAAACAAAUAAAACACGUUGCAAAAGUCAAACGCUCUUCUUGUCAUUACCCUGGGAUGCUCAGGGCCUUUUUUUGAUUUAUUCCUAUCCCAUACUAACAAAUUACCAGUAGAUGCCCUCAACCACACUUUGUUCGUAA